AAUCCCGCAAUGUUUCUGGGUUUAUGUGCUUACAUUUUUGCUGCGUGCAACAUGCUGCUACUUUAUAAUUACAGCGGCCAAAUUUUGACACAGAAAACCGACAUUUUAUGGAAUUUAUAUGAAAGCCCUUGGUAUCUGGCUGAUGGGGAAUUUAAAAAAACCUUUCUUACAGUACAAAUGAAAACUAGUCAAGAAAUCUGCACUAAAGCUGGUUCUUAUUUUUCACUUUCAGCUCCAACUUAUAUAACGUUCAUGAAGACAGCAUUUUCGUAUAUUGCCCUCUUGAAAGAAUUAACUUUUAGAGGAAAAUAAAGGAAUCCCAACAUUGUAUUUAAAAUGCAUUACAUGAAAUAUUUAAGAAAGAUGAACCAGCGGAGUCGACACUGCUUAACACAUUGGGCAAGAGUGAACCUUCGGAAGAUGAAGGCGAAAUUUUAGACAUAAUCCUUUCCUUUUCCUCAACGAAAUUUCCGAGACGAUUGUUAGAUAUUUUAACGAAGUUUUGAUGGUAAAAUCUGAAAGGCAAUUCUAUUCUAACCGUCCACGGAAUCUUCGAGCUAGUCUUCUGCCACGGCAGAUGACUUCCAACCGCCGCGCCGUAGCGUUUAAUGGUUGUCAUAUUGGCCCCUGAAUCAGCUAAUAAUGAUGCGGAUGAUGUUCUAAAACAAUGUCCGGUAAAUUGUUUCGAAUUUGGCAGUUUCUACAACUUGGCAAUAUCAGAGAGCAUCUUUCGGAAAGUAUAAUAUUAAUACCAACCGGCUGAACAGUGCACUUAUUGAUUGAAUACAUGAAAAUAAAACUAUAAUGACCUAAUAUAUCGGUAUUUGGAAUCUGGUGCUGGUGCUGUGCUGUAUAGGUACUCCUAGUAUAAAAACAUAUAAAAAAUAAAAUAUUUGAAUUUUGGCCAGUCACCUAAUAUUAACCCCAGGAAGGGUUGGUAAGAUUUUUGUUGGCAUUGAGGGCUUGUAACUGUUUGAACUUUCAGUUCGGUACGUGUUCUAUUCGGUGUUAUUAGUUAUUACCUAUUUAGUCAGUGAGUAUAUCUUAAAUGCUGUGGACGAGUAUAAGCUUAUAAAACUUGCUCCCCUGAAAAAGAAGAAAGAUGAUGAACUAUUCUUUGCGUUACUUGAGGUUGACAUUAAAGAGACAUACAAAAAGGCUGUAAACGUUGGGCAUUGCUUGGUCGGCUUGGAUGCUUGUUCAAUUUAUUGCGGCAUAGACAUUAUACGAUGUUUCAAAUGUAAUGGAUUUAAUCAUUCAGCCUCUACCUGUAAGAGUGAGUUAGUGUGCCGUCGAUGUGCUGAAAGGCAUGUUAUAAAAGAAUGCAAAGCUGUAAAUCUUUGUUGUAUUAAUAGUUCGAAUUUAAAAUCAAAGGAGAACUUUGAAAACAUAGCUGUUAAAAAGUUAUUGGUAUUGUGGGAGUACAGACAUUAUUCAAAUACCCAAUUAUAGCUGUUAAACAUGCUGCUUGGGGUUUUCUAAAGUGUCAAGCUCAUCAACAGAUAAUCAAUCAACUCAAACAGGAUGUUUUUGGUAUCUCCAUAUAGCAGUCAAAUUUUUUGCCUAUCGAU